UACGUAGGGUGCGAGCGUUGUCCGGAAUUAUUGGGCGUAAAGAGCUCGUAGGCGGUCUGUUACGUCUGCUGUGAAAACCCGGGGCUUAACCCUGGGCUUGCAGUGGAUACGGGCAGACUAGAGUGCGGUAGGGGAGACUGGAAUUCCUGGUGUAGCGGUGAAAUGCGCAGAUAUCAGGAGGAACACCGGUGGCGAAGGCGGGUCUCUGGGCCGUAACUGACGCUGAGGAGCGAAAGCGUGGGGAGCGAACAGG
rnacentral:rRNA from 1 species